rnacentral:rRNA from 1 species
AAGCGGUGGAGUAUGUGGUUUAAUUCGAUGCAACGCGAAGAACCUACCUGGUCUUGACAUCCCGGAGACCCUUAGGAAACUAGGGGUGCUUCCAUCUGGAAGAAUCUGGAGACAGGUGCUGCAUGGCUGUCGUCAGCUCGUGUCGUGAGAUGUUGGGUUAAGUCCCGCAACGAGCGCAACCCUUGCCUUUAGUUGCCAGCAGUUCGGCUGGGCACUCUAAAGGGACUGCCGGUGUUAAACCGGAGGAAGGUGGGGAUGACGUCAAGUCCUCAUGGCCUUUAUGACCAGGGCUACACACGUACUACAAUGGCCGAUACAAAGGGCAGCGACACUGCGAGGUGAAGCCAAUCCCGUAAAAUCGGUCUCAGUCCGGAUUGGAGUCUGCAACUCGACUCCAUGAAGUUGGAAUCGCUAGUAAUCGUGGAUCAGCAUGCCACGGUGAAUACGUUCCCGGGCCUU